UACCAGACUCCUACGGGAGGCAGCAGUGGGGAAUAUUGCACAAUGGGGGAAACCCUGAUGCAGCAACGCCGCGUGAGUGAAGAAGUAUUUCGGUAUGUAAAGCUCUAUCAGCAGGGAAGAGAAUGACGGUACCUGACUAAGAAGCCCCGGCUAACUACGUGCCAGCAGCCGCGGUAAUACGUAGGGGGCGAGCGUUAUCCGGAUUUACUGGGUGUAAAGGGAGCGUAGACGGUUCUGCAAGUCUGAAGUGAAAGCCCGUGGCUUAACCGCGGAACGGCUUUGGAAACUGUGGAACUGGAGUGCUGGAGAGGCAAGCGGAAUUCCUAGUGUAGCGGUGAAAUGCGUAGAUAUUAGGAGGAACACCAGUGGCGAAGGCGGCCUGCUGGACGAUGACUGACGUUGAGGCUCGAAAGCGUGGGGAGCAAACAGGAUUAGAUACCCUAGUAC
rnacentral:rRNA from 1 species